UAGAGGUUUGAUCAUUUCAAUACGUUAGUAUUAGUGUUUGAUAGUUGACAGAUUGAAAUAGAGGUUUAAACUCAAAAAAUUAAUUUUCAAAAAACUAUUUGAGAAGUUUUUGAGUUAGAGGUUUUGAUAUGUGUCAUGUAAAUCUAAUCAAAUAGCUGUUUACCAAAGCAUGGCAGCGAGAAUGUCCCCCCUCUCCCUCUUCCCCUCUCUCCCUCCCUCCCUCUCCUCCUUCUCCCCCUCAUAUUACAUGUGUGUACAUAUGCAAUAAGUCCAGAAAGAUCGAGAACUACUCUGUAAACAUAAAUGUUUUGGUCGUUGUUUCGCCGGAGAUCACUCCCGAUCCGGUGACUUUUUCUGUUUGUUUCCUCAUAAUGAAAUCUCGCCGGCGCGUGCUUCCGGUCGACCGGAGCGGAAUUCCUUCACACGCGAGCUUCCAGUUAAGCUUCGACGGAGGAGUCCUUUUCCAGAGCCUAAUCUGAUCACAUCUCCGGCUGGUUUGCUAACGGCGACGAUUCAGUCUCCGGCGGAUAUGCUACGGUGGAAUUACCUAGUGUACGAAGCCAUGUUUACCGAGAGCGAUGUGGUUGUAUUCGCCAAAGGCGUGAACAAGCGGCAAGGCAAAAUUGGGACCCAUGGGAGUUGUAUUGCGUGUUUGGCGAUGACGAUUUGCUUAUUGAAUUUCUUCUUUUGUUUGAUUUGAUCUUUAUUUGUCGUCGUUAUUCUUUAUAUUUUGAUAUUCAUCCAUAUUUAUAUAUAUUUGUAUUGUUCUAAUAUUGCUAAUUUUUAUGGAUGUAGGAACUUCUUACCUAACAAGGUCAUAUCCAUGGUGAUAAUUAUUGGGGUGGAGAAGAAGAGCUAAUAUGGAUGUUUGAAAAAGAUUUUAAGAAUUUAUUUAUUAAUGCUGCUUCCGAGAAGACGCGAACCUUGGUGUACAAGGCAGUUGAGCUACAAACAUAGAGAGAAAGGAAUAAAGAAGACAUCAUUUUUAGUCUGUUUUGUAAUCGAUGUAAUUUUUGUAGGGCACUUUUUUUCCUCCUUGAGUUUUUUUCCCACAGGGUUUUGCUCUUGAGGGGUUUUAACGAGGCCCUUUUUUUGUGGGUUAUCUCUUCUGACUUGAAAGGCUAUGUUAUCUAAGCUUCCGGAGUAUUUACAUACUUUCGGUUAGAUGAUAUACCUUCUUGAACGAAGGAAACUCUG